rnacentral:pre_miRNA from 1 species
AAAGUACUCCCUCCGUCCGAAAAUACUUGUCAUCAAAAUGGACAAAAAAAGAUGUAUCUAGAACUAAAAUACAUCUAGAUACAUCCUCUUUUAUUCAUUUUGAUGACAAGUUUUUCCAGACGGAGGGAGUACACA